rnacentral:rRNA from 1 species
AGAAUCAACGCUGGCGGCGCGCUUAACACAUGCAAGUCGCACGAGAAAGGGAGCAAUCCUUAGUAAAGUGGCGCACGGGUGAGUAACACGUGGAUCAUCUACCUUUUAGUGGGGAAUACCCCUGGGAACCGGGGAUAAUACCGCAUAAGCUCGAAAGAGGAAAGCAGCAAUGCGCUGAAAGAGGAGUCCGCGGCUGAUUAGCUAGUUGGCGGGGUAACGGCCCACCAAGGCGAAGAUCGGUAG